rnacentral:rRNA from 1 species
UUUUAUAUUUAAGGUUUAGUCUGCCCAAUGAAAAAUUUCAAUGGCCGCAGUAUUUUGACUGUGCAAAGGUAGCAUAAUCAUUAGUUUCUUAAUUAGGAACUUGUAUGAAUGGCUGGAUGAGAAAUAAGCUGUCUCUAUUUAAUUUAAAUAUAAUUUUAUUUUUGAGUUAAAAAGCUUAAAUUUUUAUUAAAGACGAGAAGACCCUAUAGAGUUUAAUAAAUUAAUAAUUAUAAUAUUUAAGGCAUUAAAGUUUUAUAAUUGUUAAUUUAUUUUAUUGGGGUGAUAAGAGAAUUAAAUAAACUUUUCUUUUUUUAAAACGAUAAUAUAUGAGUAUUUGAUCCAAAUUUUUUGAUUAAAAGAUUAAAUUACCUUAGGGAUAACAGCGUAAUUUUCUUAGAGAGUUCAAAUCGAUAAGAAAGUUUGCGACCUCGAUGUUGGAUUAAAAUUAAUUAUUGGCGCAGUAGUUGAUAAAUUAAGUCUGUUCGACUUUUAAAAUUUUACGUGAUCU